GACAGAGGGUGCAAACGUUGUUCGGAAUUACUGGGCGUAAAGCGAGUGUAGGCGGUUUCGUAAGUCGGAUGUGAAAGCCCCGGGCUCAACCCGGGAAGUGCACUCGAUACUGCGAAGCUAGAGUACUGGAGAGGUUGGUGGAAUUCUCGGUGUAGAGGUGAAAUUCGUAGAUAUCGGGAGGAACACCGGUGGCGAAGGCGGCGAUCUGGGUAGAUACUGACGCUGAGGUGCGAAAGCGUGGGGAGCAAACAGG
rnacentral:rRNA from 1 species